AUUAAACAUUUACAAAAAAUGAGGGUAGUGUUUCUCAACAGUGGGCAGUUUUGCCUCUCUCUCCCACCAGGGGACAUUUGACAAUGUCUAUAGACAUUUUGGGCUGUCACAAUUUUGGGAGAGGGGUACUCUUUGCAUCCAGUGGGUAAAGGCCUUGAAUGCUGCGAAACAUCCUACAGUGCACAGGACAGUAUCCUCCCUCCCCAGCUAAGAACUAUCUGAUCCCAGCUGUGAAUAGUGUCAUGGUUGAGAAACCCUGAAUUAGAAGGAUAACUGUUACGAAGGAGAAAUAAAGGUUGCUAUGAAAACUUAGAUAAUGGGGGUUAUAAAAGUUUUCAGUGAAGUAUGCCUUUUCAAUUUGGAACCCAGCCAAGGAGGUUUCCAGUGGAAGGAGGAGAUUCUUCAAUUGAGCUGGAACCUGGGCUGAGCUCCAGUGCUGCCUGUAAUGGGAAGGAGAUGUCACCAACCAGGCAACUCCGGAGGUGCCCUGGAAGUCAUUGCCUGACAAUAACUGAUGUUCCCGUCACUGUUUAUGCAACAACGAGAAAGCCACCUGCACAAAGCAGCAAGGAAAUGCAUCCUAAAUAGCACCAUUAAGUCUUUUGUCAAGGUCUGACUAGGUCAAGGGUAAUGGACCAGUAUCAUCUGGUGAUCUGGUAAACAAAUAA
rnacentral:lncRNA from 1 species